rnacentral:lncRNA from 1 species
GUCGAUAGCAUAAAAGAAUUGAAACCGCUUUUUUGUAUCACUAAAAUAUCAUUUCAUUUUAUGAGUAAAGAACUAAACUUUUGAAAUGCUUGCUAACUGUACGUUACUCUCGUGAACCAAACUAUUUACUUAUUAAUCUUUCUAUGAUAUAACAUAGCUUUACAUUGGCUCAUCACCUUAUUAAUAAUUCAUAAAACCAGUUUUUUUGGUACUGCAGAAAGCAAAAAAAGGAAAAGAACUAACACACUAGGACAAUUGAAGGCCAGUAACAUAUUGCACUCAAGAGGUGCUAAAGACCAGAUCGAGUGCUGGAUAGAAGAAUGAGACCCUCUUCUACCUAAGCAGUUUGCCACCUUGUUAGCUUCAAGAACAACAAACUUAAUCACUACCUCCCACUCCCAAGAUAGCCAAGCAUACACCUUAGAGACAAUUCCAGAUAUGCUAAAAAUGCGGAUCUGAAAUUACUCAUCAAGAACGUGGACAACCUCAAGACAGUCGCUCUCAAGAAUGAGCUUCUUCACGCCCAAAUUUCAAGUCAUAUCUAAGCCCGAUCCAUAGCCAAAAGCUCAACUAGGACAGAGGAUCCCACUCCAAAAUCAGAAGGGAAACCCGAAAUCUACAAACCUGAAUGAUCUCAAAGAACAUCACUUCCUCCCAUGAUCUUGGAGUCACGAAUACAACUAUCAUCAACAUUUAGCUUAACUUGACCUUCCGCAGGUCAACUCCAAAAAAUGGAAGGUAGGUCUUCAUCCAUAUCAGGACUACUCCCUAUGUCUUCAUUCAUAAAACCAGUUUGAUGCACGUAUAUCGUGAUGAUAUAGAUAUAAUACAUCUGCCUCAAAAUUGAGUAACAACCAAAUAUUUAUGGAGCCAUGAAAGGCUUGUUCUCAAGAGUGCGUGCAUAUCAGAAUAAAAACUAAGGCCACUUUUUUUAGUACCAUAUUUCUUUUCUUUUAUGAGCCUGACCCCUUUUUCCCUAAACAUUUGUUCCUUCAGGGAUUUUUGUACAAUGAAAGGCCAAAUGA